rnacentral:rRNA from 1 species
UACAGAGGUCCCGAGCGUUGUUCGGAUUCAUUGGGCGUAAAGGGUGCGUAGGCGGCGGGGCAAGUCUGAUGUGAAAUCCCGGGGCUCAACCCCGGAACUGCAUUGGAUACUGCCUUGCUAGAGUACUGGAGAGGGAACUGGAAUUUACGGUGUAGCAGUGAAAUGCGUAGAGAUCGUAAGGAAGGCCAGUGGCGAAGGCGGGUCUCUGGACAGUUCCUGACGCUGAGGCACGAAGGCCAGGGGAGCAAACGGG